rnacentral:rRNA from 1 species
AUUGAACGCUGGCGGCAGGCUUAACACAUGCAAGUCGAGCGGGGUGAUGGUGCUUGCACUAUCACUUAGCGGCGGACGGGUGAGUAAUGCUUAGGAAUCUGCCUAUUAGUGGGGGACAACAUCUCGAAAGGGAUGCUAAUACCGCAUACGUCCUCCGGGAGAAAGCAGGGGAUCACUUGUGACCUUGCGCUAAUAGAUGAGCCUAAGUCGGAUUAGCUAGUUGGUGGGGUAAAGGCCUACCAAGGCGACGCUCUGUAGCUGGUCUGAGAGGAUGAGCCGCCACACUUGGACUGAGACACGGCCCAGACUCCUACGGGAGGCAGCAGUGGGGAAUAUUGGACAAUGGGGGGAACCCUGAUCCAGCCAUGACGCGUGUGUGAAGAAGGCCUUAUGGUUGUAAAGCACUUUAAGCGAGGAGGAGGCUCUUUUGGUUAAUACCCAAGAUGAGUGGACGUUACUCGCAGAAUAAGCACCGGCUAACUCUGUGCCAGCAGCCGCAGUAA